rnacentral:lncRNA from 1 species
UAUCACCUAUGGAAGUGGAAGCGUCAUAACAGGGCAAUUACUACUUUUGAAUUUUGUCUUUGUUUAGCCACAGCACCUUCUAUCCACAUCUGGGAUGCGGUGAACAAACAGACUUUAUCUAUCCUAAGAUGUUACCAUUCAAAAGGAGUGUGUUCAGUCAGCUUCAGUGCCACCGGCAAACUGCUGCUGUCUGUGGGACUGGACCCCGAGCAUACCAUUACCAUCUGGAGAUGGCAGGAAGGUGCCAAAAUUGCCAGCAGAGCUGGGCACAACCAGCGUAUUUUUGUAGCAGAAUUCCGACCAGAUUCAGAUACCCAGUUUGUUUCUGUGGGAGUAAAACAUGUGAAGUUCUGGACACUGGCAGGAAGGGCCCUUCUUAGCAAAAAAGGGCUGCUGAGCACACUGGAAGACGCCCGGAUGCAAACCAUGCUCGCCGUGGCUUUUGGUGCAGUAUGUCUCUUAACAUGUUGCAUGUGGUAUCGUUUUGCCUACUUUAAACUGUGUUCCUUUAGAGAAGGCACAUUAAUGUUGUGGGUAUGGCAUUGUAAUUGCUAAUCAUUACGUGUCCUGGUCUUGCGUACACUUGAUCGCUCAAACAUCUGAUACUUCCAGAAAUUAAGGAGUGGGAAAAUUAAUCAGGAUUAUGAUGAGACAUUCUUUGCAUUGGGCCACUGAUAUUCUCCAAGGCCUGCAUUAGUAGUCUCAAAAUGAGUCUUCCUAGUGGUUCCUCAUGCGUCUAAAAAUUUGACAGAGUAAAAGAAAGUUAAAUCAAGAAGCAUAAUUUUCACAUCUUAAGGUCAGACUUGGGUUUAGGUUCCCUUUGCUGUCUCUAAGUCCCUGCUUACAUAUCUGUUGGAAGCGCCCUCAGCCAACUCAAGGCAAGAAAGGGAAAGACACAAAGGAGAGCGGGCGCACCAUCCUGGUUUCAGUGCAACAGUGUGCAGACGCGCUCUCCCUCUCCCGCCGCCAGCCCUGCGGUCCUGGGUGCAGGACACAUCUCCUCCCUUCAGAGUCCUGCCCCGCAAAGGCUGCUUACAUCCUUUGGUGCAAUAAAAAAUGCAGCGGGAUACCCUUAUUUGUGGGUCUGUGUGAGAAUGAAGUAUUUGAAGAAAAAAAUUGGAAGUUUAGUACCCUUAAGCUUUUGAGAAAAAGACCACUGAAAAUGUUGGUGAUAGUAUGGCAAAUUUCUUUUUUUUUUUUUUUUUUUUUUUUUUUUUUUGUCUUUUUCCUUUUUAUCGGUACCAG